UCCCUCCCUCCCUCCCUCCCUCCCUCCCUCCCUCGGUGAUGGACAUCAUUGAUCAUUGCUGAUGUGAUGGGCUUUAACCACUUUUUCUUUCUCAUGCUGAGUUUUCACCAAUGUGACCACCGCAACAGCUGACUGUGCCCCAAACACUAACAAGAAGCUGGGAGUUGUGAGCAGCAGGAUUUCUUGCUCUGUGAUGUCUCAGGGAAAUGAGUUCAACAUUAGCUCUGCCUGAGCUUUCACACAGGGAGCUGAACAGCUGAAAUGUAAAACUCUGGCAAGGAUGAUGUAGUCAGCUGAUGGUGAGGAGCUCUUGCAAUAGAAUCAUAGAAUCACUGAAUAUUCUGGGAGGGAACCCACAAAGAUCAGUGAAGUCCAACUCCUGGCCCUGCACAGGACAGCUCCAAGAAUUACACCAUGGACAAAUAAAUCCAAAGCAUUCUGAGAAAACCUGAGAGACACAGAAGAGACAUGGUGAAACCUACACAGUUUCAAACACUAGAGACAGACAAAAAUGGCUAAUGUAGGAGAAGCAACAGACAGGUGAAGGUGAAAAACACGAGGCCCAGAAAUAAACCUGGGGGAGAUUUCAGAGAAGAAUUAUUGGAACAUGAAGGAAAACAGAUGAAGAUUUUGGAGGAUUAAAAUGAUACAUUUCCCUCUCCUUGGUUUCUCCAAGUUCCACCAUACAUGAGGUGGGUUGAUAUGACUCAAAGGAUUUAUGCUGUACAGUCUACUGCUUUCAAUGAGUACUGCUUUGUUAAGAAAAUACGUUGAUCCUGGAACAACACAGAGAAAUGGCAAUAAGUCAUUUUAAAAAUCUCCCUGCUGAGAACCAGUUGAACUGAAUUGAUUACCUUGGACCUGAGUUUAAAAGUGUUCAUAAAAAAAUCCCACAGCUAUCAAUAAAAAAAUAGCUUGGAUUUUGCUUUCUCCAGGAAAAAUGCUGGAGAGCUGGGCUGCAAAUGAAAGAAGAUGAUGUUCACACAUGUGCUGUGUCUGCACACUGUGUUUUCAUUGCAGCACCUGAAGAAAAUGAGAGUUUAGAUCCAGUGCAGAGAGCCUCUGAUGUAGCCAGCUACAGAAACAUUGGCAGCAGGGGCCACAGGGGAUAUUUAGCUCUGCUGUCAGAGCCUUCACUCUCAUUAGUAAUGAACUGACUGCCUCAAAAUGUAUUUGGUUUCAUUGAGUUUGAAAGACCACAAAACAUUACAAAGUCCUAAAAAAAAAAGACCCAUAAAUUUGAAUACAUCUGAAAUGUAAUUUACUUUUUCUGCCAAUUCACUACUGAAGUCACAAACUGAAAUUUGAUGGAUUGACAGAUUUAUUCCCACAAUUCAUUUUUGCUCCAUGGCUUCAGAAGAAUUAGUAUUCCUUAGCCAAUCAAACAACCUAUAAUAAUUGUUUCUGUUUCAGAUCUGGUUUAGUUUUUGCUUCUCUUGAAUAGCUGCAUUUGCAGUGAAGUCAUUUCCACUCAGGAUCUUUGUUUCUUUGUUAGUGUUAUUCUCUUUAUUUAAAAUCCAAUUUUGGAUUCAAAAUUUUGAAUUCCUUUUUAACCAGGACCUUCUCUUUUGAAUUUAAAGUUAGUCUUAGUUUGUAGGUGCUCCUAUUCAUGUUGUAUGUUGCAAAUACAUGGAAUAACCUUCUUUUAAAUUAUUUCCAUUAAAAAAGUAGAUAUCUUUUAAAGGCAAAAUGGCAUAGAAGUACCAUUUUGUUGCAUAGUCCGAAAUGGGUUUGAAUUACCUCCUGCAUCCACACUCUCACAGUACAGAUCUCUUGUGUAAAAGCACCUCCCUUUUGUCAGUGGUCGCCACCUUUGUAGGGCAACCUCUGCCCCUCAGCUGAGAGAACCCUGCUCAAUGUGUGCUGCUGCCCUUGGUGGCUGCAAUGCCAGCCUCACAUCCAUGCACUGAUUGAUCUUUGAAUCAUAGAAUAAUUUAUGUUUUAAGAGAGCUCUAAUAUUGUUGAGUCCAACCAUCAACGCAACACCAAAGCCCACCAAGGCCACACCAUGUCCCCAAGUGCCACAUCUACAACUUUUUUAAAUACUUCCAGGCAUGGGGACUCAACCACUUGCCUGGUGAAGUGCCAGUUUGCCCAGGCCCUUCAGCAGAGGGAGAUUUCUAACUGGUUUUGUAUUACCUGUCAAAACAACCCAGGAAUAAAAAAUCAGAAAUAAUUAUCAAAACAGAAGAGAAAUAUUUGCUUGCUGUUUUGUAUCCACUACUACACUGGGUAAGACCUAUGUUUUCUCUAAGAGAAGAAAUAAAUGUUUUCUGUCUCUAAAUGUUCUCCAAAACUUUCAUUUGAUGUCUGCAAGUUUCACAACAAUCCUCAAAGUGAAACUGUGAUGAAUGAAACUGGAAUUUAGAAUAGCUUCAACUACUAAAGAGCUCCUCCUCACAGAUUCUCCAGUUUUCUCUAUGAUGGUGUUUCUGUCAGCAUCUUGCUGUGCCAGAAAAGGUUUUUGGAUUUUCUUGAUGCAUAGAAAAGCUUCCUUUCCCUAGUUUAUAUAGUCAUAAUAUUUUUCUUCCACAAGUUUUUUUUUGUUUUGUUUUGUUUUUUU